GACGUAGGGGGCCAGCGUUGUUCGGAAUUACUGGGUGUAAAGGGUACGUAGGCGGUGCGGCAAGUCGGGAGUGAAAUCUCUGGGCUUAACCCAGAGGCUGCUUCCGAAACUGCUGUGCUUGAGUGUGGGAGAGGCGCGUGGAAUUGCAGGUGUAGCGGUGAAAUGCGUAGAUAUCUGCAGGAACACCCGUGGCGAAAGCGGCGCGCUGGACCACUACUGACGCUGAGGAACGAAAGCUAGGGGAGCAAACAGG
rnacentral:rRNA from 1 species